ACAGUCACAUCAUGUUGAAACACCAGUUCCUGUAUGCUCACCAAAGUUAAGCAACAUUGAGACUGGUCAGUACCUAGAUGAGUGAGUGCUUUGGAAUACCAGGUGUGGUAAG